GGGUACUUCUACCAGUUGGAGCUGGGCUGUUGGAGACAUCUCCACUGCCUACCACCAGGACGAGCAGAGUGGU
rnacentral:lncRNA from 1 species